AAGUCGUAACAAGGUCUCCGUUGGUGAACCAGCGGAGGGAUCAUUACCGAGUUGCAAGACUCCCAAACCCCUGUGAAACGUUGGAACUUUCAGCUGCCUCGAUGGGCGGCCCCAGGGCGGGGCCGUUGCCUACUCGGCGCCCAUCGGCGGUACGCAACUAUAAAUUCAGCACAAGGAAAUUCUGAGUGUUCUAUAAGAACUAGUCAAAACUUUCAACAACGGAUCUCUUGGUUCUG
rnacentral:misc_RNA from 1 species